GGUAAGGUGAUAUGAACCGUUAUAACCGGCGAUACCCGAAUGGGGAAACCCAGUGUGAUUCGUCACACUAUCAUUAACUGAAUCCAUAGGUUAAUGAGGCGAACCGGGGGAACUGAAACAUCUAAGUACCCCGAGGAAAAGAAAUCAACCGAGAUUCCCCCAGUAGCGGCGAGCGAACGGGGAGGAGCCCAGAGCCUGAAUCAGCAUGUGUGUUAGUGGAAGCGUCUGGAAAGGCGCGCGAUACAGGGUGACAGCCCCGUACACAAAAGCGCAUGUGCUGUGAGCUCGAUGAGUAGGGCGGGACACGUGGUAUCCUGUCUGAAUAUGGGGGGACCAUCCUCCAAGGCUAAAUACUCCUGACUGACCGAUAGUGAACCAGUACCGUGAGGGAAAGGCGAAAAGAACCCCGGCGAGGGGAGUGAAAAAGAACCUGAAACCGUGUACGUACAAGCAGUGGGAGCNNAUAGGGGAGCCGGAGGGAAACCGAGUCUUAAUUGGGCGUUAAGUUGCAGGGUAUAGACCCGAAACCCGGUGAUCUAGCCAUGGGCAGGUUGAAGGUUGGGUAACACUAACUGGAGGACCGAACCGACUAAUGUUGAAAAAUUAGCGGAUGACCUGUGGCUGGGGGUGAAAGGCCAAUCAAACCGGGAGAUAGCUGGUUCUCCCCGAAAGCUAUUUAGGUAGCGCCUCGUGAAUUCAUCUCCGGGGGUAGAGCACUGUUUCGGCUAGGGGGCCAUCCCGGCUUACCAACCCGAUGCAAACUGCGAAUACCGGAGAAUGUUAUCACGGGAGACACACGGCGGGUGCUAACGUCCGUCGUGAAGAGGGAAACAACCCAGACCGCCAGCUAAGGUCCCAAAGUCAUGGUUAAGUGGGAAACGAUGUGGGAAGGCCCAGACAGCCAGGAUGUUGGCUUAGAAGCAGCCAUCAUUUAAAGAAAGCGUAAUAGCUCACUGGUCGAGUCGGCCUGCGCGGAAGAUGUAACGGGGCUAAACCAUGCACCGAAGCUGCGGCAGCGAACGUAUCACCCAAGACAACUUUACGGAGUUGACGAUUGACGGAGCGAAGCGACGUCAAAGCGUUCAUUAAAGUCGAGUUGGCUUAGGGAUACGUUCGUUGGGUAGGGGAGCGUUCUGUAAGCCUGUGAAGGUGUGUCGUGAGGCAUGCUGGAGGUAUCAGAAGUGCGAAUGCUGACAUAAGUAACGAUAAAGCGGGUGAAAAGCCCGCUCGCCGGAAGACCAAGGGUUCCUGUCCAACGUUAAUCGGGGCAGGGUGAGUCGACCCCUAAGGCGAGGCCGAAAGGCGUAGUCGAUGGGAAACGGGUUAAUAUUCCCGUACUUGGUGUUACUGCGAAGGGGGGACGGAGAAGGCUAUGUUGGCCGGGCGACGGUUGUCCCGGUUUAAGCGUGUAGGUGUGUGUUCCAGGUAAAUCCGGUUCACUUUAACACUGAGGCGUGACGACGAGGCACUACGGUGCUGAAGCAACAAAUGCCCUGCUUCCAGGAAAAGCCUCUAAGCAUCAGGUAACACGAAAUCGUACCCCAAACCGACACAGGUGGUCAGGUAGAGAAUACCAAGGCGCUUGAGAGAACUCGGGUGAAGGAACUAGGCAAAAUGGUGCCGUAACUUCGGGAGAAGGCACGCUGACAC
rnacentral:rRNA from 1 species